UAUUAUAGCAUUAUAAGUACGCAUAUUUAUGUAUAAAAUAUUUAUAAUAAAAGUCAUGAAUUUAAUAAUGUUUGAAUGUUUAUAUCUCUUAAUAAUUAAUAAAUUAACAAUUAUAUAAUUUAUAUUAACGAUCACAAAUGUCUAUCCAUAGGUGAUAAUGUCAUCGCUCUUCAUUUACCAUCAGAGCUCAUUUUCAAUAGUUUUAAACCUUCGACAUACGAUACGAUUUUUCAUGCUAAGCACGCAUACGAGGCGUCUUAUAAUUAGGUUACUAUCUUUGAGUAUAUAUACAUGAAUGAGGAAUGCCAGCACUGAAAGUGUGUCCAAGAUCUGUGCGAGAGAGAAAGGUAUAUCAUGAUACUUGCUCUCUCUGCGCAUGUGUCAAACGCUAUAUGUACAAUGGCUGGCAUUGUAUGUUUCACACAUAUACAAUUCGUAAUUAAGUACAAAAGUGCACAAGAAGUGUUGAAACUGCGGUGCAGAUAAUGAUAUUAACGCAUGCGCAGAGAAAGCGAGUAUCAUGAUAUACCUUUCUCUCUCGCACAGAUCUUGGACACACUUUCGAUCUACAUGAAACCAUAGCAAUUUCUCCUUCAUGUAUAUAUACUCAAAGGUAUUCUCACGUCCGCCAUUUUUCUUCAAACUAGCAAG